GCCGAAGUGGCGGAACUGGCAGACGCACAGGACUUAAAAUCCUGCGGGACUUACCUCUCGUACCGGGUUCGAUUCCGGUCUUCGGAC
rnacentral:tRNA from 1 species